rnacentral:rRNA from 1 species
ACUCCUACGGGAGGCAGCAGUGGGGAAUUUUGGACAAUGGGCGCAAGCCUGAUCCAGCCAUGCCGCGUGAGUGAAGAAGGCCUUCGGGUUGUAAAGCUCUUUCGGCCGGGAAGAAAUCGCAUGGGUCAAUACCCUGUGUGGAUGACGGUACCGGAAUAAGAAGCACCGGCUAACUACGUGCCAGCAGCCGCGGUAAU